rnacentral:lncRNA from 1 species
UGGAAAAGGAAGAGUUUUUCUACACUUGGGAUUCCUCCACACCAUUUAUUCUUGCAUGAGGAUUCAUUUCUCCAUGUGAGAAGGUAGAGCACCAAGAAUUGGCACCCCUUGGGAGAUCCAUGCACCUCUUCAUUUCCUAUUUAUAGGAGAUGCCUCCUUUGGAUUUUGGAGUAGAUAUACUGGCAUUUGGGAAUGGGAUAUGUGAGGGUUAAGCAAAAAAAAUUUAAAAAAAAUUAAGAAAAAGAAGAGAAAAAAAAUAGAAAGAGAG